CCUACGGGUGGCAGCAGUCGAGAAUCAUUCACAAUGGGGGAAACCCUGAUGGUGCGACGCCGCGUGGGGGAAUGAAGGUCUUCGGAUUGUAAACCCCUGUCAUGUGGGAGCAAAUUAAAAAGAUAGUACCACAAGAGGAAGAGACGGCUAACUCUGUGCCAGCAGCCGCGGUAAUACAGAGGUCUCAAGCGUUGUUCGGAAUCACUGGGCGUAAGGCGUGCGUAGGCUGUUUCGUAAGUCGUGUGUGAAAGUCGCGGGCUCAACCCGCGGACGGCACAUGAUACUGCGAGACUAGAGUAAUGGAGGGGGAACCGGAAUUCUCGGUGUAGCAGUGAAAUGCGUAGAUAUCGAGAGGAACACUCGUGGCGAAGGCGGGUUCCUGGACAUUAACUGACGCUGAGGCACGAAGGCCAGGGGAGCGAAAGGGAUUAGAUACCCCUGUAGUC
rnacentral:rRNA from 1 species